rnacentral:rRNA from 1 species
GAUGAACGCUGGCGGCGUGCCUAAUACAUGCAAGUCGAGCGAACAGACGAGGAGCUUGCUCCUCUGACGUUAGCGGCGGACGGGUGAGUAACACGUGGAUAACCUACCUAUAAGACUGGGAUAACUUCGGGAAACCGGAGCUAAUACCGGAUAAUAUAUUGAACCGCAUGGUUCAAUAGUGAAAGACGGUUUUGCUGUCACUUAUAGAUGGAUCCGCGCCGCAUUAGCUAGUUGGUAAGGUAACGGCUUACCAAGGCAACGAUGCGUAGCCGACCUGAGAGGGUGAUCGGCCACACUGGAACUGAGACACGGUCCAGACUCCUACGGGAGGCAACAGUAGGGAAUCUUCCGCAAUGGGCGAAAGCCUGACGGAGCAACGCCGCGUGAGUGAUGAAGGUCUUCGGAUCGUAAAACUCUGUUAUUAGGGAAGAACAAAUGUGUAAGUAACUAUGCGCGUCUUGACGGUACCUAAUCAGAAAGCCACGGCUAACUACGUG